rnacentral:ncRNA from 2 species
GGGUGUUUUCAUUCGCAUGCGAAUGAGCAGGUUGGUACACCGGUCGGGCCGCCGGUG